UACGGGGGGGGCAAGCGUUGUUCGGAAUUACUGGGCGUAAAGGGCUCGUAGGUGGCCAACUAAGUCAGACGUGAAAUCCCUCGGCUUAACCGGGGAAUUGCAUCCGAUACUGGAUGGCUUGAAUCCGGGAGAGGGAUGCGGAAUUCCAGGUGUAGCGGUGAAAUGCGUAGAUAUCUGGAGGAACACCGGUGGCGAAGGCGGCAUCCUGGACCGGCAUUGACGCUGAGGAGCGAAAGCCAGGGGAGCAAACGGG
rnacentral:rRNA from 1 species